CUAAGAGUUUGAUCCUAGCUCAGGAUGAACGCUGGCGGCGUGUCUAAGGCAUGCAAGUCGUACGAUCGCGAACGGGAGUGAGGCACGACACGUGGCGAACGGGUGAGUAACACAUUGGUAACCUACCCCCAAGACGGGCAUAACUCCUCGAAAGAGGAGAUAAUUCCCGAUGGUUUCCGACACCACAAGGUCGUCGGAAUAAAACUCCGGUGCUUGGGGAGGGGCCUAUGUCUGAUUAGCUAGUUGGUGAGGUAACGGCCCACCAAGGCGACGAUCAGUAGCGGGGAUGGAAGUCUGACCCGCCUCACUGGGACUGAGACACUGCCCAGACUCCUACGGGAGGCUGCAGUCGAGAAUCUUCCUCAAUGGCCGAAAGGCUGAAGGAGCGACGCCGCGUGCAGGAAGAAGCCCCUCGGGGUGUAAACUGCUUUUACAAGGGAAGAAUGCCGGCAUGACGGUACCUUGAGAAUAAGGACCUCCUAAUUUCGUGCCAGCAGGAGCGGUAAUACGAAAGGUCCAAGCGUUAUCCGGAUUUAUUGGGCGUAAAGCGUCCGCAGACGGUUAGAUAAGUUUCUGGUUAAAUUCCAUGGCUCAACUGUGGAACCGCCGGAAAAACUCUCUAGCUAGAGGGUGGGAAAGGCCACUGGAAUGGCUGGUGUAGGAGUUAAAUCCGUUAAUAUCAGCUAGAACACCAAAGGCGAAAGCAGGUGGCUGGAACAUUCCUGACGUUCAGGGACGAAAGCGUGGGUAGCGAAUGGGAUUAGAUACCCCAGUAGUCCACGCCGUAAACGAUGGAUACUUGACAUUGGCAGUCUCGACCCUGUCAGUGUCGCUCUAAACAAGCUAACGCCUUAAGUAUCCCGCCUGGGGAGUACGAGCGCAAGCUUAAAACUCAAAGGAAUAGACGGGGACCCGCACAAGCGGUGGAGCAUGUGGUUCAAUUCGAAGAUAAGCGAGGAACCUCACCAGGGCUUGACAUCUAGCCUAUGUUAAACUUUAACCGGUUUUUCUUAGUGGCUAAGACAGGUGCUGCAUGGUUGUCGUCAGCAUGUGCCGUGAGGUGCACCGUUAAUUCGGGUAACAUGCGCAACCCUCAUCCUGAUUUAAAUUUUAUCAGGAAACUGCCCGUGAUAAACGGGAGGAAGGUGGGGAUGACGUCAAAUCAGCAUGGUCCUUAUGCUCUGGGCUACACACGUGCUACAAUGGCCAUUACAAUGGGGCGCCAAGCCGCAAGGCGGAGCUAAUCUCAUCAAAAAUGGUCUCAGUUCGGAUUGAGGUCUGCAACUCGACCUCAUGAAGUCGGAAUCGCUAGUAACCGCGAAUCAGCCUCGUCGCGGUGAAUACGUUCUCGGGUCUUGUACUCACCGCCCGUCACGUCAAGGGAGCCGGUAAUGCCCAAAUCUCGAUGUUUGUCGGGAAAAGGUAAGACUGGUGACAGGGACGAAGUCGUAACAAGGCAUCCGUAGCGGAAGCUGUGGAUGGAUCACCUCCUU
rnacentral:rRNA from 1 species